rnacentral:rRNA from 1 species
AGAGACAGCAGUAGCCGCGGUAAUACGGAGGGGGCUAGCGUUGUUCGGAAUUACUGGGCGUAAAGCGCACGUAGGCGGCUUGGUAAGUUAGAGGUGAAAGCCUGGAGCUCAACUCCAGAAUUGCCUUUAAGACUGCCGAGCUAGCAGGUGAGAGAGGUAAGUGGAAUUCCGAGUGUAGAGGUGAAAUUCGUAGAUAUUCGGAAGAACACCAGUGGCGAAGGCGGCUUACUGGCUCAUACUGGACGCUGAGGUGCGAAAGCGUGGGGAGCAAACAGGAUUAGAUACCCGCGUAGUCCCUGUCUCUUAUAC